GGUCUGAGAGGAUGAUCCGCCACACUGGGACUGAGACACGGCCCAGACUCCUAGGGGAGGCAGCAUUGGGGAAUUUUGGACAAUGGGCGUAAGCCUGAUCCACCCAUCCCGCGUGUCUGAAGAAGGCCUUCGGGUUGUAAAGGACUUUUGUCCGGGAGCAAAUCCCAGUGGUUAAUACCUACUGGGGCUGAGAGUACCGGAAGAAUAAGCACCGGCUAACUCCUUGCCAGCAGCCGCGUUAAUACGUAGGGUCCAAGCGUUAAUCGGAAUUACUGGGCGUAAAGCGUGCGCAGGCGGUUGUGCAAGUCUGAUGUGAAAGCCCCGGGCUUAACCUGGGAACGGCAUUGGAGACUG
rnacentral:rRNA from 2 species